rnacentral:ncRNA from 1 species
GAUAGGGCGCUGUCGUCAGCGUGAUGGGACACUGACGUAGGGUCAAUUAGCCUGGCUCAGGCCGGAUUCCGGCGACACCAGGUGGGCGGUCCGAGCCACGAGGGGGGAGGCUCGGACCGCCCGUC